UGUCAAAAUUUCUGAAUGAUCCUUGGUGU
rnacentral:piRNA from 1 species